CCUAGGGUGUGGCAGCAGUGGGGAAUAUUGGACAAUGGGCGAAAGCCUGAUCCAGCCAUGCCGCGUGUGUGAAGAAGGCCUUCGGGUUGUAAAGCACUUUCAGUGGGGAAGAAAGCCUUGGGGCUAAUACCCUCGAGGAAGGACAUCACCCACAGAAGAAGCACCGGCUAACUCCGUGCCAGCAGCCGCGGUAAUACGGAGGGUGCGAGCGUUAAUCGGAAUUACUGGGCGUAAAGCGCGCGUAGGCGGUCUGAUAAGCCGGUUGUGAAAGCCCCGGGCUCAACCUGGGAACGGCAUCCGGAACUGUCAGGCUAGAGUGCAGGAGAGGAAGGUAGAAUUCCCGGUGUAGCGGUGAAAUGCGUAGAGAUCGGGAGGAAUACCAGUGGCGAAGGCGGCCUUCUGGACUGACACUGACGCUGAGGUGCGAAAGCGUGGGUAGCAAACAGGAUUAGAUACCCCUGUAGUC
rnacentral:rRNA from 1 species